rnacentral:rRNA from 1 species
CGCCCGCCGCGCGCGGCGGGCGGGGCGGGGGCACGGGGGACUCCUACGGGAGGCAGCAGUGGGGAAUAUUGCACAAUGGAGGAAACUCUGAUGCAGCAACGCCGCGUGGAGGAUGACGCAUUUCGGUGUGUAAACUCCUUUUAUAUAGGAAGAUAAUGACGGUACUAUAUGAAUAAGCACCGGCUAACUCCGUGCCAGCAGCCGCGGUAAU